ACGGGUGCGUAACACGUGGGCAAUCUGCCGAAAAGUGGGGGAUAGCUCGCCGAAAGGCGAAUUAAUACCGCAUGUGGUGAGGGACGACAUCUUCCUGAAUCCAAAGCCGGGGCAACCUGGCGCUUUUUGAGGAGCCCGCGGCCUAUCAGCUAGUUGGUGAGGUAACGGCUCACCAAGGCUAUGACGGGUAGCUGGUCUGAGAGGACGACCAGUCACACUGGAACUGAGACACGGUCCAGACACCUACGGGUGGCAGCAGUCGAGAAUUUUUCUCAAUGGGGGAAACCCUGAAGGAGCGACGCCGCGUGGAGGAUGAAGGCUUUCGGGUUGUAAACUCCUGUCAUUUGGGAACAAGGUGCACCGGUUAACUGCCGGAGUAUUGAUAGUACCAGAAGAGGAAGGGACGGCUAACUCUGUGCCAGCAGCCGCGGUAAUACAGAGGUCCCAAGCGUUGUUCGGAUUCAUUGGGCGUAAAGGGUGCGUAGGUGGCGCUGUAAGUCGGGUGUGAAAUUUCGGAGCUUAACUCCGAAACUGCAUUCGAUACUGCGGUGCUUGAGGACUGGAGAGGAGACUGGAG
rnacentral:rRNA from 1 species